rnacentral:tmRNA from 1 species
GGGGAUGAUCGGCUUCGAUGGGAGCAUGACGCGGCAAAAAUCGGGCCGAGAACGCAAGAACACUCGUAAAACGCUUGCAACCGAAUAAGUGCAAACUUGUUCCGAUCCUUUGCUGCGCGACCUGCGCUUGCAGUAGCGUAAUGAAGGCCCUCCGGUUUUUCCGGGGGCAUCGGCCUCUCAAUGCUCGUGAGGGAGCCCGCCGGUGUUAUACCACCGAGCUUUGACGGUCGCAACGUCCGAUAGCGGCCGUGACAUGUAUCGGGCAAAACCUUUCCGUAGCAAUACGGAAUACGCUCGUAGAAAUUUUUGCCGAGGAAACUUCCAGACGGGGGUUCGAUUCCCCCCAUCUCCAAAA